GACGAACGCUGGCGGCGUGCUUAACACAUGCAAGUCGAACGAAGUGGCGAACGGGUGAGUAACGCGUAAUCAACCUGCUCUUCGGGGGGGGACAACAGUUGGAAACGACUGCUAAUCCCCCAUACUGAUGGACGGGUUUGCGGGUGAUUAGCUCGUUGGGGGGGGAAUGGCCCACCAAGGCGAUGAUCAGUAGGCGGUCUGGGAGGGUGAACGGCCACAUUGGGACUGAGACACGGCCCAGACUCCUACGGGAGGCAGCAGGUGGGAAUCUUCCGCAAUGGACGAAAGUCUGACGGAGCAACGCCGCGUGAGUGAUGACGGCCUUCGGGUUGUAAAGCUCUGUUAAUCGGGACGCGGUACCGGAAGAGAAAGCCACGGCUAACUACGUGCCAGCAGCCGCGGUAAUAC
rnacentral:rRNA from 1 species